rnacentral:rRNA from 1 species
AACACAUGCAAGUCGAGCGGAAACGACACUAACAAUCCUUCGGGUGCGUUAAUGGGCGUCGAGCGGCGGACGGGUGAGUAAUGCCUAGGAAAUUGCCUUGAUGUGGGGGAUAACCAUUGGAAACGAUGGCUAAUACCGCAUAAUGCCUACGGGCCAAAGAGGGGGAUCUUCGGACCUCUCGCGUCAAGAUAUGCCUAGGUGGGAUUAGCUAGUUGGUGAGGUAAUGGCUCACCAAGGCGACGAUCCCUAGCUGGUCUGAGAGGAUGAUCAGCCACACUGGAACUGAGACACGGUCCAGACUCCUACGGGAGGCAGCAGUGGGGAAUAUUGCACAAUGGGCGAAAGCCUGAUGCAGCCAUGCCGCGUGUAUGAAGAAGGCCUUCGGGUUGUAAAGUACUUUCAGUUGUGAGGAAGGGUGUGUAGUUAAUAGCUGCGCAUCUUGACGUUAGCAACAGAAGAAGCACCGGCUAACUCCGUGCCAGCAGCCGCGGUAAUACGGAGGGUGCGAGCGUUAAUCGGAAUUACUGGGCGUAAAGCGCAUGCAGGUGGUUCAUUAAGUCAGAUGUGAAAGCCCGGGGCUCAACCUCGGAACUGCAUUUGAAACUGGUGAACUAGAGUGCUGUAGAGGGGGGUAGAAUUUCAGUGGUAGCGGUGAAAUGCGUAGAGAUCUGAAGGAAUACCGGUGGCGAAAGGCGGCCCCUGGACAAAGACUGACGCUCAGAUGCGAAAGCGUGGGGAGCAACAGGAUUAGAUACCCUGGUAGUCCACGCCGUAA